GUAGUUAGCCGGGGCUUCCUCCUUGGCUACCGUCAUUUUUUCGUCACCAAGGACAGAGGUUUACAACCCGAAAGCCUUCUUCCCUCACGCGGCGUUGCUGGGUCAGGCUUGCGCCCAUUGCCCAAUAUUCCCCACUGCUGCCUCCCGUAGGAGUCUGGACCGUGUCUCAGUUCCAGUGUGGCCGAUCAGCCUCUCAGCUCGGCUACCCAUCGUCGACUUGGUGGGCCGUUACCCCGCCAACUAUCUAAUGGGACGCGAACCCCUCCUAUAGCGGAUUGCUCCUUUGACCCCUUCGCCAUGUGGCAUUGUGGUCUUAUGCGGUAUUAGCACUUGUUUCCAGGUGUUAUCCCCCUCUUUAGGUCAGGUUGUUCACGCGUUACUCACCCGUGCGCCACUAAAGAUACCUCGUAUUGCUACUCAGUAUCCUCCGUUCGACUUGCAUGUGUUAGGUCACGCCGCCACGCGUUCGUCCUCGAACCAACGAUACAACUACUGA
rnacentral:rRNA from 1 species